CUCUUGGGAGGUGCUGAGUGU
rnacentral:siRNA from 1 species